GGCAGCAGUGGGGAAUCUUCCGCAAUGGACGAAAGUCUGACGGAGCAACGCCGCGUGAGUGAUGAAGGCUUUCGGGUCGUAAAACUCUGUUGUUAGGGAAGAACAAGUGCUAGUUGAAUAAGCUGGCACCUUGACGGUACCUAACCAGAAAGCCACGGCUAACUACGUGCCAGCAGCCGCGGUA
rnacentral:rRNA from 1 species